UGUAGCUGAGGCUGAUGUUCUGGAAGCUGAGGUCUUCCACUCAGAACUUUUGUGACGAGGCCAAUCUGGCUGCCUCCCACAGGGGCUCCCCAACUUCAGAAGCACCGAAUGCUUGUCCUCCUUCCUUUACCAAACAAGAUGGAGGACAGGAAUAAUUACAAGAAACAGAGAAGGAGACAAGACAGGAUUGCCCAGCAUCCCUGAAACUCCACGGAGUCAAACUUUUCUUCAAACAUAGUAAGAGGACUGAACCUGCCUGGAGACAGUGAUGUACUGAAGCAUUUCAUGGAGGGAAAUGAUUUCUUCUCAUGGAGUUGAAAGUGUGUUGUCCAACACUGUUCCAUAGCCUAUGAAUAAAACAGUUAUCCACACCUC